rnacentral:rRNA from 1 species
GUAAACCACGGGCCAGAGGCGUGGGUAAUACGGAGGGGGCAAGCGUUGUCCGGAUGUAUUGGGCGUAAGGGGCGCGCAGGCGGUCGGCCAAGUCCGAGGUGAAAUCUCCCGGCUCAACUGGGAGGGGUCUUCGGAUACUGGCGGACUUGAGGAGAGCAGAGGUGAGUGGAAUUCUCGGUGUAGUGGUGAAAUGCGUAGAUAUCGAGGGGAACACCAGCGGCGAAGGCGGCUCACUGGGCUCCACCUGACGCUGAGGCGCGAAAGCGUGGGGAGCGAACCGGAUUAGAUACCCGGGUAGUC